rnacentral:rRNA from 1 species
AAUGAACGCUGGCGGCAGGCCUAACACAUGCAAGUCGAACGAGGCAGCAAUGCCUAGUGGCGGACGGGUGAGUAACGCGUGGGAACAUACCCUUUGGUUCGGAAUAGCCCUUGGAAACGGGGAGUAAUACCGAAUGUGCUCGCAAGAGGAAAGAUUUAUCGCCAAAGGAUUGGCCCGCGUUGGAUUAGGUAGUUGGUGGGGUAAUGGCCUACCAAGCCGACGAUCCAUAGCUGGUUUGAGAGGAUGAUCAGCCACACUGGGACUGAGACACGGCCCAGACUCCUACGGGAGGCAGCAGUGGGGAAUCUUAGACAAUGGGGGAAACCCUGAUCUAGCCAUGCCGCGUGAUCGAUGAAGGCCUUAGGGUUGUAAAGAUCUUUCAGUUGGGAAGAUAAUGACGGUACCAACAGAAGAAGCCCCGGCUAACUCCGUGCCAGCAGCCGCGGUAAUACGGAGGGGGCUAGCGUUAUUCGGAAUUACUGGGCGUAAAGCGCACGUAGGCG